CCUACGGGAGGCAGCAGUGGGGAAUAUUGGACAAUGGGCGGAAGCCUGAUCCAGCCAUGCCGCGUGUGUGAAGAAGGCCUUUUAGGUUGUAAAGCACUUUAAGCGAGGAGGAGGCUACUAGUAUUAAUACUACUGGAUAGUGGACGUUACUCGCAGAAUAAGCACCGGCUAACUCUGUGCCAGCAGCCGCGGUAAUACAGAGGGUGCGAGCGUUAAUCGGAUUUACUGGGCGUAAAGCGUGCGUAGGCGGCUGAUUAAGUCGGAUGUGAAAUCCCUGAGCUUAACUUAGGAAUUGCAUUCGAUACUGGUCAGCUAGAGUAUGGGANAGGAUGGUAGAAUUCCAGGUGUAGCGGUGAAAUGCGUAGAGAUCUGGAGGAAUACCGAUGGCGAAGGCAGCCAUCUGGCCUAAUACUGACGCUGAGGUACGAAAGCAUGGGGAGCAAACAGGAUUAGAUACCCUGGUAGUCCAUGCCGUUAAACGAUGUCUACUAGCCGUUGGGGUCUUUGAGACUUUAGUGGCGCAGCUAACGCGAUAAGUAGACCGCCUGGGGAGUACGGUUCGCAAGACUAAACCGUUAAAUGAAUUGACGGCUUGGAGGACGNGCGAGCGACACGAGGGAGGAGG
rnacentral:rRNA from 1 species